GCUCAGGACGAACGCUGGCGGCGUGCCUAAUACAUGCAAGUAGAACGCUGAAGAGAGGAGCUUGCUCUUCUUGGAUGAGUUGCGAACGGGUGAGUAACGCGUAGGUAACCUGCCUUGUAGCGGGGGAUAACUAUUGGAAACGAUAGCUAAUACCGCAUAACAAUGGAUGACACAUGUCAUUUAUUUGAAAGGGGCAAAUGCUCCACUACAAGAUGGACCUGCGUUGUAUUAGCUAGUAGGUGAGGUAACGGCUCACCUAGGCGACGAUACAUAGCCGACCUGAGAGGGUGAUCGGCCACACUGGGACUGAGACACGGCCCAGACUCCUACGGGAGGCAGCAGUAGGGAAUCUUCGGCAAUGGGGGCAACCCUGACCGAGCAACGCCGCGUGAGUGAAGAAGGUUUUCGGAUCGUAAAGCUCUGUUGUAAGUCAAGAACGAGUGUGAGAGUGGAAAGUUCACACUGUGACGGUAGCUUACCAGAAAGGGACGGCUAACUACGUGCCAGCAGCCGCGGUAAUACGUAGGUCCCGAGCGUUGUCCGGAUUUAUUGGGCGUAAAGCGAGCGCAGGCGGUUUGAUAAGUCUGAAGUUAAAGGCUGUGGCUCAACCAUAGUUCGCUUUGGAAACUGUCAAACUUGAGUGCAGAAGGGGAGAGUGGAAUUCCAUGUGUAGCGGUGAAAUGCGUAGAUAUAUGGAGGAACACCGGUGGCGAAAGCGGCUCUCUGGUCUGUAACUGACGCUGAGGCUCGAAAGCGUGGGGAGCGAACAGGAUUAGAUACCCUGGUAGUCCACGCCGUAAACGAUGAGUGCUAGGUGUUGGAUCCUUUCCGGGAUUCAGUGCCGCAGCUAACGCAUUAAGCACUCCGCCUGGGGAGUACGACCGCAAGGUUGAAACUCAAAGGAAUUGACGGGGGCCCGCACAAGCGGUGGAGCAUGUGGUUUAAUUCGAAGCAACGCGAAGAACCUUACCAGGUCUUGACAUCCCGAUGCUAUUUCUAGAGAUAGAAAGUUACUUCGGUACAUCGGUGACAGGUGGUGCAUGGUUGUCGUCAGCUCGUGUCGUGAGAUGUUGGGUUAAGUCCCGCAACGAGCGCAACCCCUAUUGUUAGUUGCCAUCAUUCAGUUGGGCACUCUAGCGAGACUGCCGGUAAUAAACCGGAGGAAGGUGGGGAUGACGUCAAAUCAUCAUGCCCCUUAUGACCUGGGCUACACACGUGCUACAAUGGUUGGUACAACGAGUUGCGAGUCGGUGACGGCAAGCUAAUCUCUUAAAGCCAAUCUCAGUUCGGAUUGUAGGCUGCAACUCGCCUACAUGAAGUCGGAAUCGCUAGUAAUCGCGGAUCAGCACGCCGCGGUGAAUACGUUCCCGGGCCUUGUACACACCGCCCGUCACACCACGAGAGUUUGUAACACCCGAAGUCGGUGAGGUAACCUUUUGGAGCCAGCCGCCUAAGGUGGGAUAGAU
rnacentral:rRNA from 1 species